UAGAAGAAAUGAUGCUAAAAUGAGUAAUAAGAGAGCACUCGGCUCCCUCCAAGCACAAGUGUAAGUCAGAACAGACAAACCACUGACAAUUAACGGACCCAGAUCGAGGGUAAAGCAAUGGAAAAAAUACACAAGAAAACCCUGCAUAAAAAUAACCGUUAACCCAACACAGGAGUGCAACAAAGGAAAGACUAAAAGGAGAAGAAGGAACUCGGCAAACACUAACCCCGCCUGUUUACCAAAAACAUCGCCUCUUGCUAAGAAGAAUAUAUUAGAGGUCCCGCCUGCCCUGUGACCACUGUGUUUAACGGCCGCGGUAUUAUAACCGUGCGAAGGUAGCGUAAUCACUUGUCUUUUAAAUGGAGACCUGUAUGAAUGGCACCACGAGGGUUUGACUGUCUCCUUCCCCCAGUCAAUGAAAUUGAUCUGCCCGUGCAGAAGCGGACAUGAAAACAUAAGACGAGAAGACCCUAUGGAGCUUCAGGCUAAAGACUCAAACGUAUAAAAAAAUUUACAUGAACGAAAGAAACAGACUAAAUUUAAACUUAACGUAUAAAUGGUCACAUGCCUUCGGUUGGGGCGACCUCGGGGGAAAACAAAGCCCCCGAAUGGAAUGAAGACACCUUCCAAACCAAGAAAUACACUUCUAAGUAACAGAAAAUCUGACCAAACAUGACCCAGGAUAAACUUAAACCUGAUCAAUGAACCAAGUUACCCUAGGGAUAACAGCGCAAUCCUUUCCCAGAGUCCCUAUCGACGAAAGGGUUUACGACCUCGAUGUUGGAUCAGGACAUCCUAAUGGUGAAGCCGCUAUUAAGGGUUCGUUUGUUCAACGAUUAACAGUCCUACGUGAUCUGAGUUCAGACCGGAGCAAUCCAGGUCGGUUUCUAUCUAUGACUUUACUUCUCCCCAGUACGAAAGGACCGGGAAAAGAGGGCCCAUACUAAAAGCAAGCCCCAUCUCAACCCUCUGAAAACAAAUAAAAAGG
rnacentral:rRNA from 1 species